UAAUAAGUGUUUUAUGGCACUUUUCAAACAAUCCAUAUCCACCUUGUGUGCAAUGUUAGUCGAUUUUUUAUGGAGAUGAAAACAACUUUAUUUUUUAAUUGCCAUUUGAUCUGAAAUCAUAUUAUUAUGAAUUAAACUUAAUUCAAAAUA
rnacentral:misc_RNA from 1 species